rnacentral:rRNA from 1 species
CUGGGAAUAGUUGUCAAUGGACGAAAGUCUGAACACGCGACGCCGCGUGAGGGAUGAAGUCUUUCGGGAUGUAAACCUCUUUUGCCAAGUCAUCGAAGCUUGGCGAAUAAGCACCUACAAACUACGUGCCAGCAGUCGCGGUAAUACGUAGGGUGCAAGCGUUAUCCGGAUUCACUGGGCGUAAAGUGUCGCGUAGGCUUUUCUUUAUGUCAUGUCUUAAAUAGUAGGGCCCAACCCUACCGUUGGAUGUGAGACUAGAGAAAUUAGAAGGAGAGAGGGGUACUUGGAACUCGUGGUGGAGUAGUGAAAUGCGUUGAUAUCACGAGGAACACCAAAGGCGAAGGCAAAGUACUGGCUCUUACUUGACGCUGAGGCACGAAAGCUAGGGGAGCGAAGCAG